rnacentral:rRNA from 1 species
UACGAAGGGGGCUAGCGUUGUUCGGAAUCACUGGGCGUAAAAGCGCACGUAGGCGGAUCUUUAAGUCAGGGGUGAAAUCCCGAGGCUCAACCUCGGAACUGCCUUUGAUACUGGGGAUCUCGAGUCCGGGAGAGGUGAGUGGAACUGCGAGUGGUAGAGGUGAAAUUUCGUAGAUAGUUCGCAAGAACACCAGUGGCGAAAGGCGGCUCACUGGCCCGAUACGUGACGCUG